GGGUUGUGAGGUUAAGCGACUAAGCGUACACGGUGGAUGCCCUGGCAGUCAGAGGCGAUGAAGGACGUGCUAAUCUGCGAAAAGCGUCGGUAAGGUGAUAUGAACCGUUACAGCCGGCGAUGUCCGAAUGGGGAAACCCAGUGUGAUUCGUCACACUAUCGUUAACUGAAUACAUAGGUUAACGAGGCGAACCGGGGGAACUGAAACAUCUAAGUACCCCGAGGAAAAGAAAUCAACCGAGAUUCCCCCAGUAGCGGCGAGCGAACGGGGAGCAGCCCAGAGUCUGAAUCAGCUUGUGUGUUAGUGGAACGGUCUGGAAAGUCCGACGGUACAGGGUGAUAGUCCCGUACACCAAAAUGCACAGGCUGUGAACUCGAAGAGUAGGGCGGGACACGUGGUAUCCUGUCUGAAUAUGGGGGGACCAUCCUCCAAGGCUAAAUACUCCUGACUGACCGAUAGUGAACCAGUACCGUGAGGGAAAGGCGAAAAGAACCCCGGCGAGGGGAGUGAAAAAGAACCUGAAACCGUGUACGUACAAGCAGUGGGAGCACCUUCGGGUGUGACUGCGUACCUUUUGUAUAAUGGGUCAGCGACUUAUAUUCUGUAGCAAGGUUAACCGUAUAGGGGAGCCGCAGGGAAACCGAGUCUUAACUGGGCGUUAAGUUGCAGGGUAUAGACCCGAAACCCGGUGAUCUAGCCAUGGGCAGGUUGAAGGUUGGGUAACACUAACUGGAGGACCGAACCGACUAAUGUUGAAAAAUUAGCGGAUGACUUGUGGCUGGGGGUGAAAGGCCAAUCAAACCGGGAGAUAGCUGGUUCUCCCCGAAAGCUAUUUAGGUAGCGCCUCGUGAACUCAUCUUCGGGGGUAGAGCACUGUUUCGGCUAGGGGGUCAUCCCGACUUACCAACCCGAUGCAAACUACGAAUACCGAAGAAUGUUAUCACGGGAGACACACGGCGGGUGCUAACGUCCGUCGUGAAGAGGGAAACAACCCAGACCGCCAGCUAAGGUCCCAAAGUCAUGGUUAAGUGGGAAACGAUGUGGGAAGGCACAGACAGCCAGGAUGUUGGCUUAGAAGCAGCCAUCAUUUAAAGAAAGCGUAAUAGCUCACUGGUCGAGUCGGCCUGCGCGGAAGAUGUAACGGGGCUAAACCAUGCACCGAAGCUGCGGCAGCGACACUAUGUGUUGUUGGGUAGGGGAGCGUUCUGUAAGCCUGCGAAGGUGUGCUGUGAGGCAUGCUGGAGGUAUCAGAAGUGCGAAUGCUGACAUAAGUAACGAUAAAGCGGGUGAAAAGCCCGCUCGCCGGAAGACCAAGGGUUCCUGUCCAACGUUAAUCGGGGCAGGGUGAGUCGACCCCUAAGGCGAGGCCGAAAGGCGUAGUCGAUGGGAAACAGGUUAAUAUUCCUGUACUUGGUGUUACUGCGAAGGGGGGACGGAGAAGGCUAUGUUAGCCGGGCGACGGUUGUCCCGGUUUAAGCAUGUAGGCUGGUUGUCCAGGCAAAUCCGGAUAAUCAAGGCUGAGGUGUGAUGACGAGGCACUACGGUGCUGAAGUAACAAAUGCCCUGCUUCCAGGAAAAGCCUCUAAGCAUCAGGUAACAUUAAAUCGUACCCCAAACCGACACAGGUGGUCAGGUAGAGAAUACCAAGGCGCUUGAGAGAACUCGGGUGAAGGAACUAGGCAAAAUGGUGCCGUAACUUCGGGAGAAGGCACGCUGGUGUGUAGGUGAAGCCCCUGCGGGUGGAGCUGAGACCAGUCGAAGAUACCAGCUGGCUGCAACUGUUUAUUAAAAACACAGCACUGUGCAAACACGAAAGUGGACGUAUACGGUGUGACGCCUGCCCGGUGCCGGAAGGUUAAUUGAUGGGGUUAUCCGUAAGGAGAAGCUCUUGAUCGAAGCCCCGGUAAACGGCGGCCGUAACUAUAACGGUCCUAAGGUAGCGAAAUUCCUUGUCGGGUAAGUUCCGACCUGCACGAAUGGCGUAAUGAUGGCCAGGCUGUCUCCACCCGAGACUCAGUGAAAUUGAACUCGCUGUGAAGAUGCAGUGUACCCGCGGCAAGACGGAAAGACCCCGUGAACCUUUACUAUAGCUUGACACUGAACAUUGAGCCUUGAUGUGUAGGAUAGGUGGGAGGCUUUGAAGCGUGGACGCCAGUCUGCGUGGAGCCAACCUUGAAAUACCACCCUUUAAUGUUUGAUGUUCUAACGUUGGCCCCUUACCGGGGUUGCGGACAGUGUCUGGUGGGUAGUUUGACUGGGGCGGUCUCCUCCCAAAGCGUAACGGAGGAGCACGAAGGUUAGCUAAUCCUGGUCGGACAUCAGGAGGUUAGUGCAAUGGCAUAAGCUAGCUUGACUGCGAGCGUGACGGCGCGAGCAGGUGCGAAAGCAGGUCAUAGUGAUCCGGUGGUUCUGAAUGGAAGGGCCAUCGCUCAACGGAUAAAAGGUACUCCGGGGAUAACAGGCUGAUACCGCCCAAGAGUUCAUAUCGACGGCGGUGUUUGGCACCUCGAUGUCGGCUCAUCACAUCCUGGGGCUGAAGUAGGUCCCAAGGGUAUGGCUGUUCGCCAUUUAAAGUGGUACGCGAGCUGGGUUUAGAACGUCGUGAGACAGUUCGGUCCCUAUCUGCCGUGGGCGCUGGAGAAUUGAGGGGGGCUGCUCCUAGUACGAGAGGACCGGAGUGGACGCAUCACUGGUGUUCGGGUUGUCAUGCCAAUGGCACUGCCCGGUAGCUAAAUGCGGAAGAGAUAAGUGCUGAAAGCAUCUAAGCACGAAACUUGCCCCGAGAUGAGUUCUCCCUGAGACUUUAAGUCUCCUGAAGGAACGUUGAAGACGACGACGUUGAUAGGCCGGGUGUGUAAGCGCAGCGAUGCGUUGAGCUAACCGGUACUAAUGAACCGUGAGGCUUAACCUUACAACGCCGAAG
rnacentral:rRNA from 1 species